CCUACGGGAGGCAGCAGUGAGGAAUAUUGGACAAUGGGCGCAAGCCUGAUCCAGCCAUGCCGCGUGCAGGAAGACGCAUCUAUGGUGUGUAAACUGCUUUUGUACGGGAAGAAACACUCCUUCGUGAAGGAGCUUGACGGUACCGUAAGAAUAAGGAUCGGCUAACUCCGUGCCAGCAGCCGCGGUAAUACGGAGGAUCCAAGCGUUAUCCGGAAUCAUUGGGUUUAAAGGGUCCGUAGGCGGUUUAAUAAGUCAGUGGUGAAAUCUGGUCGCUCAACGAUCAAACGGCCAUUGAUACUGUUAGACUUGAAUUACUAGGAAGUAACUAGAAUAUGUAGUGUAGCGGUGAAAUGCUUAGAUAUUACAUGGAAUACCAAUUGCGAAGGCAGGUUACUACUAGUGGAUUGACGCUGAUGGACGAAAGCGUGGGGAGCGAACAGGAUUAGAUACCCUGGUAGUCCACGCCGUAAACGAUAGGAUACUAAGCUGUUGGGCGCAAGUUCAGUGGCUAAGCGAAAGUGAUAAGUAUCCACCUGGGGAGUACGUUCGCAAGAAUGAAACUUAAAGGAAUUGAACGGCUGAGACCNGCGAGACGACGACGAGGAGAGG
rnacentral:rRNA from 1 species